GACGAACGCUGGCGGCGUGCCUAAUACAUGCAAGUCGAGCGGAAGUUGGAGAGCUUGCUCUUCAACUUUAGCGGCGGACGGGUGAGUAACACGUGGGCAACCUGCCCUGCAGAUCGGGAUAACUCCGGGAAACCGGUGCUAAUACCGAAUAGUUUUCGCCACCUCCUGGUGGCGUACGGAAAGACGGUUUCGGCUGUCACUGCAGGAUGGGCCCGCGGCGCAUUAGCUAGUUGGUGGGGUAACGGACAACCAAGGCGACGUUGCGUAGCAGACCUGAGAGGGUGAUCGGCCACACUGGGACUGCGACACGGCCCAGACUCCUACGGGAGGCAGCAGUAGGGAAUCUUCCGCAAUGGACGAAAGUCUGACGGAGCAACGCCGCGUGAGUGACGAAGGUUUUCGGAUCGUAAAACUCUGUUGUGAGGGAAGAACAAGUACCAACUAACUACUGGUACCUUGACGGUACCUCACCAGAAAGCCACGACUAACUACGUGCCAGCCGCCGCAGUAAUAC
rnacentral:rRNA from 1 species